AGUUAGACUCGUGUCCUGAGUAUGAGGACAUCUCAGAGACUGCAGCACAGACAGAAGACCCAGAGGAGCAGGAAGACCUGGUGUGAAGUCAAACCAGAGGGAGACUCACAUGGAGGAAAAUAAAAAGAAGUCUUUAACUCCAAACGUUUUCAUUCUCAGUUAUUUAGAAGCAGCAGGUAGCAGAAGAUUAGAGAAGAAUGCAGCUUUAUUUGUACCUGUGCAGGUACAUAACAUAACUGAACUCAGUUCAGGAUUUGACUUAAUAUGCAAAGUGAUAUUUUAUGUAGUAAAAUAAUUUUAAGAAAUAUUGUUCACCCUUUCAUAUCACACCUGUCCUGGCAGAGAAAGCCAGUAAAGUCCAACUAUUCCACAGCAUGUACAGUAGAUCUUAUAUGGUAUAUUUUUACACAUUAAAAAACAUGAGCUCAGCUCUGUCAAACUUUGCUAGUUGUUCAUUUGUAUUGAAUGAAUUGUAUUGUAUUGCAUGUAUUGUAGUGUGAACAUCAUGCCAGUUCCCUCUCACUGCUGCAGAGGGAGAUAGUGUUCAGGUGCAAGCUUUUGAUUUCAGCUUUAAACAAACUCUUUUUGGGUUCAUUCUUCAGAAUGAAGUUUUUAUUGAUCAGUAAUGAGUGCAAAUUAAAUUUAAAUCAGUUGGUAUGUUCUGAUGUAUUUCUCACUUGCCCAAUGUUGUCCAUCUGUAAAACUUGUCACAGUGUAAUAAAGGUUUACUCUGGUGAACAACCUAAAACAG